AGUGAACGCUGGCGGUAGGCCUAACACAUGCAAGUCGAACGGCAGCACAGUAAGAGCUUGCUCUUACGGGUGGCGAGUGGCGGACGGGUGAGGAAUACAUCGGAAUCUACUUUUUCGUGGGGGAUAACGUAGGGAAACUUACGCUAAUACCGCAUACGACCUACGGGUUAAAGCAGGGGAUCUUCGGACCUUGCGCGAUUGAAUGAGCCGAUGUCGGUUUAGCUAGUUGGCGGGGUAAAGGCCCACCAAGGCGACGAUCCGUAGCUGGUCGGAGAGGGUGUGCAGCCACACUGGAACUGAGACACGGUCCAGACUCCUACGGGAGGCAGCAGUGGGGAAUAUUGGACAAUGGGCGCAAGCCUGAUCCAGCCAUACCGCGUGGGUGAAGAAGGCCUUCGGGUUGUAAAGCCCUUUUGCUGGGAAAGAAAAGCAGCAGGUUAAUACCCCGCUGUUCUGACGGUACCCAAAGAAUAAGCACCGGCUAACUUCGUG
rnacentral:rRNA from 1 species